CACGUAGGGCGCGAGCGUUGUCCGGAAUUAUUGGGCGUAAAGAGCUCGUAGGCGGCCUGUUGCGUCCGCUGUGAAAGCCCGGGGCUUAACCCCGGGUCGGCAGUGGAUACGGGCAGGCUAGAGGUAGGUAGGGGAGAAUGGAAUUCCCGGUGUAGCGGUGAAAUGCGUAGAUAUCAGGAGGAACACCUGUGGCGAAAGCGGCGCACUGGACCACAACUGACGCUGAGGCGCGAAAGCUAGGGGAGCAAACAGG
rnacentral:rRNA from 1 species